rnacentral:misc_RNA from 1 species
AUGGAAUUCUCAACUCUAUUUGCUUUUGUGAAUAGAGCUUGGAUUUGGAGGUUUAUUGCUGGUACUUGUGAUCGGCUCCUCUUGAAUGCAUUAGCUCGAACCUUUGCGGAUCAGCUAUCGGUGUGAUAAUUGUCUACGCCGUUGCAGUGAAGCAUAUCAAUGGGCUCGGCUUCCAAUCGUCCUUUACUGGACAAUGACUUUGACCUU